rnacentral:tRNA from 1 species
ACCCCUGUAACGCAAUGGAUAGCGCGUUGGACUUCUAAUCCAAAGGUCGUGGGUUCGAAUCCACCUGGGAUG